AUUGAACGCUGGCGGCAUGCUUUACACAUGCAAGUCGAACGGUAACAGGCCUUCGGGUGCUGACGAGUGGCGAACGGGUGAGUAAUGCAUCGGAACGUGCCCAGAGGUGGGGGAUAACGCAGCGAAAGCUGUGCUAAUACCGCAUGUGAUCUGAGGAUGAAAGCGGGGACCAGGCAGCAAUGUUUGGCCUCGCGCCUUUGGAGCGGCCGAUGUCAGAUUAGGUAGUUGGUGGGGUAAAGGCCUACCAAGCCGACGAUCUGUAGCUGGUCUGAGAGGACGACCAGCCACACUGGGACUGAGACACGGCCCAGACUCCUACGGGAGGCAGCAGUGGGGAAUUUUGGACAAUGGGCGCAAGCCUGAUCCAGCAAUGCCGCGUGCGGGAAGAAGGCCUUCGGGUUGUAAACCGCUUUUGUACGGAACGAAAAGGCUCUGGCUAAUACCUGGGGCUGAUGACGGUACCGGAAGAAUAAGCACCGGCUAACUACGUG
rnacentral:rRNA from 1 species